rnacentral:rRNA from 2 species
GGUUAAGCAAAAAAGCGUACAUGGUGAAUGCCUUGGCAGUCAGAGGCGAUGAAGGACGUACUAAUCUGCGAAAAGCGACGGCAAGCUGAUAUGAAGCGUAAUAACCGUUGAUAUCCGAAUGGGGAAACCCGAUGCAAAACUUGCAUCAUUGUUAAGUGAAUUAAAUAAUUUAACAAAGCAAACCAAGGGAACUGAAACAUCUAAGUACCUUGAGGAAAAGAAAUCAACCGAGAUUCCCCCAGUAGUGGCGAGCGAAAAGGGAAAAGCCCAGAGCUAUAAUCAAUAUUAAUUUUAGUAGAAUGAUUUGGAAAAUUCAGCGAUACAUGGUGAAAGCCCAGUAUACGAAAAAAAUAAUAUUGUGAGCUCAAUAAGUAGAACGGGACACGAGAAAUCCUGUUUGAAGACGGGGGGACCAUCCUCCAAGGCUAAAUACUCCUGACUGACCGAUAGUGAACUAGUACCGUAAGGGAAAGGCGAAAAGAACCCCGGCGAGGGGAGUGAAAUAGAACCUGAAACCGUGUACGUACAAGCAGUGGAAGUGUAUUGUAAAAUAUGUGACUGCGUACCUUUUGUAUAAUGGGUCAGCGACUUGUACUCUGUAGCAAGGUUAACUACAUAAGGGAGCCGAAGGGAAACCGAGUCCUAAAUAGGCGUUAAGUUUCAGGGUACAGACCCGAAACCCGGUGAUCUAGCCACGGGCAGGUUGAAGGUCAGGUAAAACUAACUGGAGGACCGAACCGACUGAUGUUGAAAAAUCAGCGGAUGACCUAUGGCUAGGGGUGAAAGGCCAAUCAAACCGGGAGAUAGCUGGUUCUCCCCGAAAGCUAUUUA